rnacentral:rRNA from 1 species
ACAGCAGCAGCCACGGUAAUACAGAGGGUGCGAGCGUUAAUCGGAUUUACUGGGCGUAAAGCGUGCGUAGGCGGCUUCUUAAGUCGGAUGUGAAAUCCCCGAGCUUAACUUGGGAAUUGCAUUCGAUACUGGUUAGCUAGAGUGUGGGAGAGGAUGGUAGAAUUCCAGGUGUAGCGGUGAAAUGCGUAGAGAUCUGGAGGAAUACCGAUGGCGAAGGCAGCCAUCUGGCCUAACACUGACGCUGAGGUACGAAAGCAUGGGGAGCAAACAGGAUUAGAUACCCCAGUAGUCCCUGUCUCUUAUAC